GUCACUUUGCCGGAGUGGUUAACGGGAUCGCCUGCUAUUUAAAGCAACUCAGCGGUUGGGCUUUGCCCGCGAGUGUUCGAAUCGCUCAGGUGACG